GGUUGACCUCGGAUCAGGUAGGAAUACCCGCUGAACUUAAGCAUAUCAAUAAGCGGAGGAAAAGAAACCAACAGGGAUUGCCUCAGUAACGGCGAGUGAAGCGGCAACAGCUCAAAUUUGAAAUCUGGCUC
rnacentral:rRNA from 1 species